UUGUAGUUUUUGCUUCUUUUGUAGUGCUUGGUGCAGCUGUUGUUUUGGUUGAAACAGUUGUUGAUGUGGUUGAUGCAUCUGUUGUUCUGGCAUGUGUGGCUGAAGUGGUGGUUGUUGCAGCUUUUGAGGUUGAUGGUGCAGCUGUAGUUGUGGGUGGUGCAGUUGUUGUUGCGGCUGGUGUAGCUGUUGUAGUCAUUGAAAAAGUUGUUGGUGUGGUUGGGGCAGCUGAAGUAAAGGUGGAGGCAGCUGCAGUUGUGGUUUUUGCUUCUUUUGUACUUGUUGGUGCAGCUGUAGUGGUUGUUGGUGCAUUUGUUGUAGUAGUUGAAAUAGUUGUUGAUGUGGUUGGUGCAGUUGUUGUUGCGGCUGGUGUGUCUGAAGUGGUGGUAAUUGCAGCUGAUGUUGUGGUUGAGCUGGCUGUAGUUGUGGUUGGUGUGGCUGUAGUUCUGGUUUGUGCAACUUUUGUUGUGGUUUGCAUAGCUGUAGUGGUGGUUGGUGCUUCUGUAGUUGCUGUUGAAACACUUGAUGAUAUUGUUGGUGCAGCUGUUGCUGUGGUUAAGCUAGCCUGAGUUGUGGUUGGUGUAGCUUUUGAAACAGUUGUUGAUGUGGCUGGGGUAGCUGUAGUUGAGGUGGAGCCAGCUGUCGUUGUAGUUUUUGCUUCUUUUGUAGUGCUUGGUGCAGCUGUUGUUUUGGUUGAAACAGUUGUUGAUGUGGUUGAUGCAUCUGUUGUACUGGCAUGUGUGGCUGAAGUGGUGGUUUUUGCAGCUUUUGUUGUUGAUCGUGCAGCUGUGGUUGUGGGUGGUGCAGUUGUUGUUGCGGCUGGUGUGUCUGAAGUGGUGGUAAUUGCAGCUGAUGUUGUGGUUGAGAUGGCUGUAGUUGUGGUUGGUGUGGCUGUAGUUCUGGUUUGUGCAACUUUUGUUGUGGUUUGCAUAGCUGUAGUGGAGGUUGGUGCUUCUGUAGUUGCUGUUGAAACACUUGAUGAUAUUGUUGGUUCAGCUGUUGCUGUGGUUGAGCUAGCCUGAGUUGUGGUUUUUGCAGAUUUUGUAGUGGAUGGUGCACCUGUCAUUGUGGUUGAGCUAGCCUUAGUUGUGGUUGGUGUAGCUGUUGAAACAGUUGUUGAUGUGGCUGGGGUAGCUGUAGUUGAGGUGGAGCCAGCUGUAGUUGUAGUUUUUGCUUCUUUUGUAGUGCUUGGUGCAGCUGUUGUUUUGGUUGAAACAGUUGUUGAUGUGGUUGAUGCAUCUGUUGUUCUGGCAUGUGUGGCUGAAGUGGUGGUUGUUGCAGCUUUUGAGGUUGAUGGUGCAGCUGUAGUUGUGGGUGGUGCAGUUGUUGUUGCGGCUGGUGUAGCUGUUGUAGUCAUUGAAAAAGUUGUUGGUGUGGUUGGGGCAGCUGAAGUAAAGGUGGAGGCAGCUGCAGUUGUGGUUUUUGCUUCUUUUGUAGUUGUUGGUGCAGCUGUAGUGGUUGUUGGUGCAUUUGUUGUAGUAGUUGAAAUAGUUGUUGAUGUGGUUGGUGCAGUUGUUGUUGCGGCUGGUGUGUCUGAAGUGGUGGUAAUUGCAGCUGAUGUUGUGGUUGAGCUGGCUGUAGUUGUGGUUGGUGUGGCUGUAGUUCUGGUUUGUGCAACUUUUGUUGUGGUUUGCAUAGCUGUAGUGGUGGUUGG
rnacentral:lncRNA from 1 species